rnacentral:rRNA from 1 species
GAUCCUGGCUCAGGACGAACGCUGGCGGCGUGCUUAACACAUGCAAGUCGAACGAGAAUCUGUGGAAAGAGGAUUCGUCCAAUUGAAGCAGAGGACAGUGGCGGACGGGUGAGUAAUGCGUGAGGAACCUGCCUUUCAGAGGGGGACAACAGUUGGAAACGACUGCUAAUACCGCAUAACAUAUAGAUGUCGCAUGGCAUUUAUAUCAAAGAUUUAUCGCUGAAAGA